GCGCUCGUAGCUCAGUGGAUAGAGCAUCUGGUUGCGGUCCAGAGGGUCGCAGGUUCGAUUCCUGCCGAGCGCACCA
rnacentral:tRNA from 1 species